rnacentral:rRNA from 1 species
AACGAACGCUGGCGGCGUGCCUAACACAUGCAAGUCGCGCGAGAAAAGGGGGGCAACCCCCUGAGUAAAGCGGCGCACGGGUGAGUAACGCGUAGGUGAUCUACCCUUGAGUCCAGGAUAACCUACUGAAAGGUGGGCUAAUACCGGAUAUGACCACGGGGAUCUCGGUCCCUGAGGUGAAAGGUGGCCUCUGUUUACAUGCUACCGCUCAUCGAUGGGCCUGCGCGCCAUAGCUAGUUGUGGGGUAAU